rnacentral:misc_RNA from 1 species
GUGAUUAAAUCGAGCGUGUCUUCAUUGACCGCUCACCCUUCUCACCAUCCACAUACACCUGUGCACUGUUUAGCCUGAGCCGGUUUUCCGGUCCAGGUUAUCAUUCAUACAAACUCUAGUCUUAUGAAUGUAAACGUUUUAAUAACAUAAUAA